rnacentral:tRNA from 1 species
AGUGUAACCCAGUGGUAAAGUGUGUGCUUAGUAUGCAUGAGCCCUGGGUUUAACUCCCAGCACU